UGAACGCUGGCGGCGUGCUUAACACAUGCAAGUCGAACGGUGAAGGCGGAGCUUGCUCUGCUGGAUCAGUGGCGAACGGGUGAGUAACACGUGAGCAAUCUGCCCCUGACUCUGGGAUAAGCGCUGGAUACGGCGUCUAAUACUGGAUACGAGCUGCGAAGGCAUCUUCAGCAGCUGGAAAGAACUUCGGUCAGGGAUGAGCUCGCGGCCUAUCAGCUUGUUGGUGAGGUAACGGCUCACCAAGGCGUCGACGGGUAGCCGGCCUGAGAGGGUGACCGGCCACACUGGGACUGAGACACGGCCCAGACUCCUACGGGAGGCAGCAGUGGGGAAUAUUGCACAAUGGGCGAAAGCCUGAUGCAGCAACGCCGCGUGAGGGACGACGGCCUUCGGGUUGUAAACCUCUUUUAGCAGGGAAGAAGCGAAAGUGACGGUACCUGCAGAAAAAGCGCCGGCUAACUACGUG
rnacentral:rRNA from 1 species